rnacentral:rRNA from 1 species
UAGAUACCCCGCUAUACUCGCCAUAUUUGGUAGUAGACCACAUCAAAACCCAUGGAAAUUGGCAGUUACAACCCUAUAGAGGAGCUUGUUUCAUAACCGACAAUACACGAUAAUUUUCACUUGCUCACAAAGCUUAUAUACCGCCGUUACAACAGAAUCAUUGUAAAUAAACCUCACUAAAGAAACCCCAAUAACUAAAAAAUCAGGUCAAGGUGUAGCACUUAACUAAGAAGAAAUUAGCUACUUAUAAAACUAAUUUAAGAAAUAGCAAAUUUAAAAAUAACUACGAAAGAGAAUCUAUACUCAAUACAAAAUUAAAAUAUCUACACGAAAAACCACCCUUGUAAUGCACACA